UACAGAGGUCCCAAGCGUUGUUCGGAUUCACUGGGCGUAAAGGGUGCGUAGGUGGUCGGGUAAGUCUGAUGUGAAAUCUCCAAGCUCAACUUGGAAACUGCAUCGGAUACUAUUCGGCUUGAGGGUUGGAGGGGGGGACUGGAAUGCUUGGUGUAGCAGUGAAAUGCGUAGAUAUCAAGCGGAACACCAGUGGCGAAGGCGAGUCCCCUGGACAACUCCUGACACUGAGGCACGAAAAGCUAGGGGGAGCAAACAGG
rnacentral:rRNA from 1 species